UUGGUGGUCACGGGCUUGUGCAUCUAGGCCGACAAGGCCAGUUUCUGGCCUCUCUGCAUGGGGCGGCCAAGUUGGGCCUACUUGCCGCAGGUCUUCCUCUCUCAGGCCAUGGGUUGUGCGUGCAUGGGUGGUAGUACAUAUGACCCCGGGCUCGCACAAAUGCAUGGUUCCGUGAGUAUGUCACUCGUGUCUUGCGCGUAUGCCACGUACGCUAGGCAUGCGAGUUGCUCUUGUCACAUUCUCGC
rnacentral:lncRNA from 1 species